UACGUAGGCAGCGAGCGUUGUUCGGAAUUACUGGGCGUAAAGAGCGUGUAGGCGGUGCUCCCAGUCUGUUGUGAAAUCUCCCGGCUUAACUGGGAGGGUGCAGCGGAAACUAGAGUGCUAGAGGGUGGGAGAGGUAAGCGGAAUUCCUGGCGUAGCGGUGAAAUGCGUAGAUAUCAGGAGGAACACCUGUGGUGUAGACAGCUUACUGGACCGCUCCUGACGCUGAGGCACGAAAGCGUGGGUAGCAAACAGG
rnacentral:rRNA from 1 species